GACGAACGCUGGCGGCGUGCCUAAUACAUGCAAGUCGAGCGGGGAUUAUGCUUGAUUGCUUCGGUGAGACGGCAUAUAUCCUAGCGGCGGACGGGUGAGUAACGCGUGGGUAAUCUACCUCGUAGUUCGGGAUAACAGGCCGAAAGGCUUGCUAAUACCGGAUGAGUUCAUGCUUAUGCAUAUAGGCAUGAAGAAAGGGCUAGCCCGCUAUGAGAUGAGCCCGCGUCCCAUUAGCUUGUUGGUGGGGUAAUGGCCUACCAAGGCAACGAUGGGUAGCCGGCCUGAGAGGGUGUACGGCCACACUGGGACUGAGACACGGCCCAGACUCCUACGGGGGGCAGCAGUAGGGAAUUUUCGGCAAUGGGCGAAAGCCUGACCGAGCGACGCCGCGUGAGGGACGAAGGCCUUCGGGUUGUAAACCUCUGUCUGGGGGAUGAGAACGGACGGUACCCCGGAGGAAGCCCGGCUAACUACGUGCCAGCCAGCCGCGGUAAUAGUACUCUAU
rnacentral:rRNA from 1 species